UACGUGAUCUCCAAGCGUUAUCCGGAUUUAUUGGGCGUAAAGGGUCCGUAGGCGGUCGGGCAAGUCUCUGGUUAAAGAUCUGUGGCUCAACCAUAGGAAUGCCGGAGAUACUGCCAGACUUGAGGACGUUAGAGGCUAGCGGAACGGUCGGUGUAGGGGUGGAAUCCGUUGAUAUCGACCGGAACACCAAAAGCGAAGGCAGCUAGCUGGGACUAUCCUGACGCUGAGGGACGAAAGCGUGGGGAGCAAAAAGG
rnacentral:rRNA from 1 species